rfam:Pseudomonas sp. 21C1 contig00017, whole genome shotgun sequence.
AGAAAACCUCCGAAAAUUAAAUCGUGAAGCAAACGCAGAUUGUAAAAAAGCGGGAUGACGUAUCAACCGUCACCCCGC